CUUGCCCCAAACAUAAGAGGUCCAGCCUGCCCAGUGACUAUUGUUCAACGGCCGCGGUAUCCUAACCGUGCGAAGGUAGCGUAAUCACUUGUUCUUUAAAUGAGGACUAGUAUGAAUGGCAUCACGAGGGUUAUACUGUCUCCUCUCUCUAAUCAGUGAAACUAAUCUCCCCGUGAAGAAGCGGGGAUAAAAUUAUAAGACGAGAAGACCCUAUGGAGCUUUAAGUAAAUCUUCAAACGCUUGUAUACCCUAACAGUCAUAGACCCUUAAAAUUAACUUUAGCGCCAUGAAGAUGAACUUUAGGUUGGGGUGACCACGGAGUACAAAAAAACCUCUACGCUGAACAAGCCUCAAAGCCUUGAGUAAAGGACCACAACCCGACACACUAAUAAAUUAACACCCAUUGACCCAAUAAUCCUUUGAUCAACGAAC
rnacentral:rRNA from 1 species